UACGUAGGGUCCGAGCGUUGUCCGGAAUUACUGGGCGUAAAGAGCUCGUAGGUGGUUUGUCGCGUUGUUCGUGAAAACUCACAGCUUAACUGUGAGCGUGCGGGCGAUACGGGGCAGACUAGAGUACUGCAGGGGAGACUGGAAUUCCUGGUGUAGCGGUGGAAUGCGCAGAUAUCAGGAGGAACACCGGUGGCGAAGGCGGGUCUCUGGGGCAGUAACUGACGCUGGAGGAGCGAAAAGCGUGGGGAGCGAACAGG
rnacentral:rRNA from 1 species